CACAUGCAAGUCGAACGAGCGAGAGAGAGCUUGCUUUCUCGAGCGAGUGGCGAACGGGUGAGUAACGCGUGAGGAACCUGCCUCAAAGAGGGGGACAACAGUUGGAAACGACUGCUAAUACCGCAUAAGCCCACGGGUCGGCAUCGACCAGAGGGAAAAGGAGCAAUCCGCUUUGAGAUGGCCUCGCGUCCGAUUAGCUAGUUGGUGAGGUAACGGCCCACCAAGGCGACGAUCGGUAGCCGGACUGAGAGGUUGAACGGCCACAUUGGGACUGAGACACGGCCCAGACUCCUACGGGAGGCAGCAGUGGGGAAUAUUGCACAAUGGGGGAAACCCUGAUGCAGCGACGCCGCGUGGAGGAAGAAGGUCUUCGGAUUGUAAACUCCUGUUGUUGAGGAAGAUAAUGACGGUACUCAACAAGGAAGUGACGGCUAACUACGUGCCAGCAGCCGCGGUAAAACGUAGGUCACAAGCGUUGUCCGGAAUUACUGGGUGUAAAGGGAGCGCAGGCGGGAAGACAAGUUGGAAGUGAAAUCCAUGGGCUCAACCCAUGAACUGCUUUCAAAACUGUUUUUCUUGAGUAGUGCAGAGGUAGGCGGAAUUCCCGGUGUAGCGGUGGAAUGCGUAGAUAUCGGGAGGAACACCAGUGGCGAAGGCGGCCUACUGGGCACCAACUGACGCUGAGGCUCGAAAGUGUGGGUAGCAAACAGGAUUAGAUACCCUGGUAGUCCACACCGUA
rnacentral:rRNA from 1 species